UACGAAGGGGGCUAGCGUUGUUCGGAAUUACUGGGCGUAAAGCGCACGUAGGCGGAUUGUUAAGUCAGAGGUGAAAUCCCGGAGCUCAACUUCGGAACUGCCUUUGAUACUGGCAAUCUAGAGUCCGGAAGAGGUUAGUGGAAUUCCCAGUGUAGAGGUGAAAUUCGUAGAUAUUGGGAAGAACACCAGUGGCGAAGGCGGCUCACUGGCCCGAUACUGACGCUGAGGCACGAAAGCGUGGGGAGCAAACAGG
rnacentral:rRNA from 1 species